rnacentral:ncRNA from 1 species
CAACGGGGUGCCUGGAAGGGCUGAGACCAUACCCGCGGAACCUGACCCGGUUAAUACCGGCGUAGGGAUUGAG